GGGCGCACGGUGGAUGCCUUGACACUAGGAGUCGAUGAAGGACGGGACUAACGCCGAUAUGCUUCGGGGAGCUGUAAGUAAGCUUUGAUCCGAAGAUUUCCGAAUGGGGAAACCCACCAUACGUAAUGGUAUGGUAUCCUUAUCUGAAUACAUAGGGUAAGGAAGACAGACCCAGGGAACUGAAACAUCUAAGUACCUGGAGGAAGAGAAAGCAAAUGCGAUUUCCUGAGUAGCGGCGAGCGAAACGGAACAUAGCCCAAACCAAGAGGCUUGCCUCUUGGGGUUGUAGGACAUUCUAUACGGAGUUACAAAGGAACGAGGUAGACGAAGCGACCUGGAAAGGUCCGUCGUAGAGGGUAACAACCCCGUAGUCGAAACUUCGUUCUCUCUUGAAUGUAUCCUGAGUACGGCGGAACACGUGAAAUUCCGUCGGAAUCUGGGAGGACCAUCUCCCAAGGCUAAAUACUCCCUAGUGAUCGAUAGUGAACCAGUACCGUGAGGGAAAGGUGAAAAGCACCCCGGAAGGGGAGUGAAAGAGAUCCUGAAACCGUGUGCCUACAAAUAGUCAGAGCCCGUUAACGGGUGAUGGCGUGCCUUUUGUAGAAUGAACCGGCGAGUUACGAUCCCGUGCGAGGUUAAGCUGAAGAGGCGGAGCCGCAGCGAAAGCGAGUCUGAAUAGGGCGUUUAGUACGUGGUCGUAGACCCGAAACCAGGUGAUCUACCCAUGUCCAGGGUGAAGUUCAGGUAACACUGAAUGGAGGCCCGAACCCACGCACGUUGAAAAGUGCGGGGAUGAGGUGUGGGUAGCGGAGAAAUUCCAAUCGAACCUGGAGAUAGCUGGUUCUCCCCGAAAUAGCUUUAGGGCUAGCCUUAAGUGUAAGAGUCUUGGAGGUAGAGCACUGAUUGGACUAGGGGUCCUCAUCGGAUUACCGAAUUCAGUCAAACUCCGAAUGCCAAUGACUUAUCCUUAGGAGUCAGACUGCGAGUGAUAAGAUCCGUAGUCAAAAGGGAAACAGCCCAGACCGCCAGCUAAGGUCCCAAAGUGUGUAUUAAGUGGAAAAGGAUGUGGAGUUGCUUAGACAACUAGGAUGUUGGCUUAGAAGCAGCCACCAUUUAAAGAGUGCGUAAUAGCUCACUAGUCGAGUGACUCUGCGCCGAAAAUGUACCGGGGCUAAAUACACCACCGAAGCUGCGGAUUGAUACCGAAUGGUAUCAGUGGUAGGGGAGCGUUCUAAGGACAGUGAAGUCAGACCGGAAGGACUGGUGGAGUGCUUAGAAGUGAGAAUGCCGGUAUGAGUAGCGAAAGACGGGUGAGAAUCCCGUCCACCGAAUGCCUAAGGUUUCCUGAGGAAGGCUCGUCCGCUCAGGGUUAGUCAGGACCUAAGCCGAGGCCGACAGGCGUAGGCGAUGGACAACAGGUUGAUAUUCCUGUACCACCUCUUUAUCGUUUGAGCAAUGGAGGGACGCAGAAGGAUAGAAGAAGCGUGCGAUUGGUUGUGCACGUCCAAGCAGUUAGGCUGAUAAGUAGGCAAAUCCGCUUAUCGUAAAGGCUGAGCUGUGAUGGGGAAGCUCCUUAUGGAGCGAAGUCUUUGAUUCCCCGCUGCCAAGAAAAGCUUCUAGUGAGAUAAAAGGUGCCUGUACCGCAAACCGACACAGGUAGGCGAGGAGAGAAUCCUAAGGUGUGCGAGAGAACUCUGGUUAAGGAACUCGGCAAAAUGACCCCGUAACUUCGGGAGAAGGGGUGCUUUCUUAACGGAAAGCCGCAGUGAAUAGGCCCAAGCGACUGUUUAGCAAAAACACAGCUCUCUGCGAAGCCGUAAGGCGAAGUAUAGGGGGUGACACCUGCCCGGUGCUGGAAGGUUAAGGAGAGGGGUUAGCGUAAGCGAAGCUCUGAACUGAAGCCCCAGUAAACGGCGGCCGUAACUAUAACGGUCCUAAGGUAGCGAAAUUCCUUGUCGGGUAAGUUCCGACCCGCACGAAAGGUGUAACGAUUUGGGCACUGUCUCAACCAGAGACUCGGUGAAAUUAUAGUACCUGUGAAGAUGCAGGUUACCCGCGACAGGACGGAAAGACCCCGUGGAGCUUUACUGUAGCCUGAUAUUGAAUUUUGGUACAGUUUGUACAGGAUAGGCGGGAGCCUUUGAAACCGGAGCGCUAGCUUCGGUGGAGGCGCUGGUGGGAUACCGCCCUGACUGUAUUGAAAUUCUAACCUACGGGUCUUAUCGACCCGGGAGACAGUGUCAGGUGGGCAGUUUGACUGGGGCGGUCGCCUCCUAAAGUGUAACGGAGGCGCCCAAAGGUUCCCUCAGAAUGGUUGGAAAUCAUUCGUAGAGUGCAAAGGCAUAAGGGAGCUUGACUGCGAGACCUACAAGUCGAGCAGGGACGAAAGUCGGGCUUAGUGAUCCGGUGGUUCCGCAUGGAAGGGCCAUCGCUCAACGGAUAAAAGCUACCCCGGGGAUAACAGGCUUAUCUCCCCCAAGAGUCCACAUCGACGGGGAGGUUUGGCACCUCGAUGUCGGCUCAUCGCAUCCUGGGGCUGUAGUCGGUCCCAAGGGUUGGGCUGUUCGCCCAUUAAAGCGGUACGCGAGCUGGGUUCAGAACGUCGUGAGACAGUUCGGUCCCUAUCCGUCGUGGGCGUAGGAAAUUUGAGAGGAGCUGUCCUUAGUACGAGAGGACCGGGAUGGACGCACCGCUGGUGUACCAGUUGUUCUGCCAAGGGCAUAGCUGGGUAGCUAUGUGCGGAAGGGAUAAGUGCUGAAAGCAUCUAAGCAUGAAGCCCCCCUCAAGAUGAGAUUUCCCAUAGCGUAAGCUAGUAAGAUCCCUGAAAGAUGAUCAGGUUGAUAGGUUCGAGGUGGAAGCAUGGUGACAUGUGGAGCUGACGAAUACUAAUAGAUCGAGGACUUAACCAUAUA
rnacentral:rRNA from 1 species